CUCUCGGAAGGUAUAGAAGCAAAAUUCCAACAAGUCACUCACCAGCUGCAACACAGACAGAGAGGGGACGUGACACAGAGCUGUGCAGUGUGAGGGCAUCUACUGCAUCUCCAUGCAGCCGUCCACUGUCAUCCAUGCUCCACUGCAGUAAAAGCAUCAAGGACAACUCUGAGUCCCCUCGCCCAUCCAGCCAUUUCCCUCCUCUGUCACCCAAGGACCUUCUCAGCCUCCUGGAUCUGAACCACUGUUGUGAGGUUUUUUUAAACUCGAAUGGCGAGCUUUCAUUGCGUGGGAUAGUAAAUAACUGUGUGGCAAAGGCCUUCAUUACAAACCAGAAAGCAAGAAAAUCUCAUUCGGAUGGAUACCGGCUCUGUUGGUGGCUGCAGAGAGCUGUUCCCUAGGCAGGUUCCAAACACCGUGACAUGGGGUACGUGUUCUGCAGCCACUGGGCGUGGGGGCCAGAGAAUGCUGGGAAACAGCACCAGCCUCCAUCCCCGUCCGCUCAGGGCAAGUUCACGCACGUGCUUGCUUUGUGGAUGUGGUGCCAGUUUCCAGAUGUGUAAAAUGAGGGUGAGGAGAGCACCUGCUUUCUAGGGUGCCUACUCUCAGU